UCCUACGGGAGGCAGCAGUGGGAAUAUUGCACAAUGGGCGCAAGCCUGAUGCAGCAACGCCGCGUGGGGGAUGACGGCCUUCGGGUUGUAAACCCCUUUUGGCAGGGAAGAAGCCUUCGGGUGACGGUACCUGCAGAAAAAGGACCGGCUAACUACGUGCCAGCAGCCGCGGUAAUACGUAGGGUCCGAGCGUUGUCCGGAAUUGUUGGGCGUAAAGAGCUCGUAGGCGGUCUGUCGCGUCUGCCGUGAAAUCCUCAGGCUCAACCUGAGGCGUGCGGUGGGUACGGGCAGGCUAGAGUGCGGUAGGGGAGAAUGGAACUCCUGGUGUAGCGGUGGAAUGCGCAGAUAUCAGGAAGAACACCGAUGGCGAAGGCAGUUCUCUGGGCCGUAACUGACGCUGAGGAGCGAAAGCGUGGGGAGCGAACAGGAUUAGAUACCCUGGUAGUCCACGCCGUAAACGUUGGGCGCUAGAUGUGGGGACCAUUCCACGGUUUCCGUGUCGUAGCUAACGCAUUAAGCGCCCCGCCUGGGGAGUACGGCCGCAAGGCUAAAACUCAAAUGAAUUGACGGA
rnacentral:rRNA from 1 species